CUGACAAGCGGAUAAAGUGGGCAAUGGGGUUCUAGCUGCAUCCAUCUGUGGGAGCAGGCACUCUCCAGAAGGAAAAGCCCCAGGGAGAAGGAGAUCGACAUCCCCCGAUGCUCCUCUCCCAGGGCUUCUGCCCAGGUUCCCGGAUGUUGUGGGUGGGACUUCCGUGACUCUCCUUGCUGAGAUCGUCCAUCCCUCUUCCUGGAGACCUGAGCUCCUGUUCUCCAUGGUGAUCCAUUCAGUGACUUCUCCAAACUAUCUGGUAACAGGCAAGCAUCUCGCCCAGGUUUAAAUCGUGCUACAUUUGUUGUUUAUCAGGGAUAAUGGAAACCCCAGACAGGAACUCUGAAGAUCAGCUCUCUUGGGAAUGGCUACCUAAGAGCUGUUGUUUUCAGACAUUUUUUUUUCCCUGUAAAAUCUUACCCGAAGUACAAUAUAUAAGAAAUAAAAGUAGAGCUGGUCUGGAUGAGGAGGAGUUGGGGACCCAGGGCUCUGGCUGCCCAGCCUCUUGUCAUUCCACCCCCAAAGGCUCUGGUUGCUCCCAGGAGCCUUUGCAGUCCAUAGAACCAUGUUUGAAAAUCACUACCUUAAGACAGAAUACCCUAGACUCCAGUAUUGUUUGUGUGUGUGUGUGUGUGUGUGUGUGUGUGUGUGUGUGUGUGUGUGUGUAGUGAGAGAGAGAGGCCGUAUGGUUAGCCCUUUAGCACAUUUUCUGUUAACCUUUCUGUGAUGCUAGAUGCUGGAGGGGGUGUGUUUGGAUGUGGAGGGGAGGGAGGAGGGGCAGCGUAACACCCCAGGGCUGGUUGAAAGCUCUAGGCUGCUGUGGGUAUGCUGAAGCAGGCUUGUAUGUAUCUGCUCUCCAAACCCCAAGACUUUUCAGGGCCCUUGAGGUGACCUGAGUGUUGUGGCAUGCCACACGCAAGGGCUCACAUCCAAGGGGCAAGUGUGAAUUACAGAGCAGUGGCACCAGGCUCACGGAGACAGCCUCCUAACAUGGCAGCAGUGUGGCAAAGUGGAGAGGGGAGGUGUCAGACAGCGUGCUAGCUCCCCAUCUCGCAGGCCGUCACUGACAGCAGAUACUCAACAGUGGCCAUGCCUACAGGCCCGAGAGGGGUUGGUGGUGCCCAAGCAGCAAACUCUGCCACGUUUGAAAAUGACCAGGUUGUCAGCAAGGCCUGUCUUUUUUUGGCUGCAUCUUGUGGGCCCCAAAGACCUUCCUGAUCUUGGGGACCUUGGUCUCCACUAGAAGAGGUAUGUGCAGACAGGUUGAUGCAACCCUUCUCUGGCAGUCUGGGAAGUGCCCUCAGGGGUUAGGUAGCCCGUGGUUCCCUAGGGCUUACCAUGCGGCAGCUCCAUCCCCAAGUGCCCCCAUCAAUCCAGUGAAUGAACGUGCCCUAGGGGAAGACCCCACCCACCCCACAGAGAUGGGAUGUGCACUCUAACACUGUCUGCCCUCCCACUGUGGCCUAGAGGCAAAGGUAACAACUGAAGAGACACCUGCAAACCAGAGCCACGGACAGAUUCCAGAAGCUCCUCCUGAGUAGUUCUCUGCUCCCACAUAACAGCCCUUUGUGAGCCUCCACUGCAGUAAGUGGAGGGUUAGCAGCACUAGGGACCUGAGUGAGUGGCCUGGGAGCCACCAGGGCUCAUCCCACUUCUGGAGGGUUAAGCUGGCUCUCCUGCAGCUCAGGCUGGCCCAACAGCCUUGGCCUGGAGCGAAACUACCUUUGCUGUGCACAGUCUUGGGAGGCCACAGCCUCAGGCUGCUCCUCAGGUUUUUCCAAAGGGCCAGGGCAGCCCCUGGUUUCCUGGGGAUAGGGCAGGGCUUAUUCUCCCCCCUCCCUGGUCUGGCCCGUGCGUCUCAACUCAGCACUUCUUGAAAACGCCUCUCUCCAUCCCGUCUCCUUGCCACCCGCCAGCAGCCUCCAUGGUUCCCAUUCGACAAGGCAGCUGUGUUUUCAGAGGCAGGCCCAGGCUGUCUGCAGAGAAAGCCUUCUCCCUGGCCUGCUCCACUGCAGCCCCCAGUGCCCCCAGUCCAGAUUUGCAGGCUCUGUUCCUUGUCAUUCGGCACUUUGUGGCAGAUCCUUUGUGGCAAUGACUGAUGCCAGGGCAGCCAAAUGCACAGUGCUUAAUGAGAGUCAUCUUCCUGCCAACCCCACCCCUCCUCUCUUCCCAGGGCUCCUACACAAGCAAGGGGCUUAGGUGGGGGUCUGGGGAGAAGUGGGAGGGGACAGGAGGCAGAGGUGCAGAAGCCAAGCCACCUGUCUGCGUCGUGCACAGUGGGGAAUGUUUGGAUGGGCAGCAUGAGGUCGACAGCUGGGCAGAGAGCAUUUCAGGCCCCCAGUCCUUCUCCUGUCCUUCUAGUUUGGCACCAAGAUCUUCCCAACUCCUCCUCCCCCUCUCCUCCUCCCCACCCCCUCCCCAUGCAGUUCCCAGAGGUGGACACGAGGUGGCGGUGUAAGGACAGGGAAGGGAAGAGGAGAGUACCGAGCCACCAGGAAGAGGACACAGCUGACGGCCAGAUAGGCUAGAAGCAUGAAGAGCCAGACGCCCGGAGAAAAUGGGUCCAGGAAGGAGAAAUAGCCGGGUUUGCGUCCCUGGAAAUGGAGAGAAAAACAAGAUUCACCGCACAUAUUCAGUCAACAUGACCUUGGGGCAGGCAGGGCGGGGUAGAGGAGGUAGUGAGUGUGGGUCUGGCCCCAGUUCCCAUUUCUGUGGGUUCUGGGUGAUUGGUUUAAAUGACACUGGGAAUGAGGGUGUUGCCGGGCUGCGCAAAUGACACGACCCAGCCCUGACCUCAGCAGGUGACACAGAACAGCAGCAGGGGCCAUGCCACUCCCUGGGGUGAGGCAGGCUUUGUGCUGGCAAAGAGGAACAACCCUCAGUGCCCCGAAGUACCACCCUGUGUCCU
rnacentral:lncRNA from 1 species